UUCAAAUGGUUGGUAGGUAGGUUUGAGAAUGAGAUAGUCAAUAUGAACAUAGUUCAUUUGGUUAUUUCGAUCAUGGUUCGGAUCAAACUAAAAGGAUAAAAAAUGGCGCGAAAAUUCCCGUUGAAACAAGAAACGAAACGUAAAGGACAUUUAUCAGUAGGAACAGAUGUGUGGUACAAUACUUGAACUUGAUGAUUAUUGAAGUUGCUAUUAAUGUCUUAAAUGUGAGCAUGAUCAAGUAGCUCAACUUCUCAAGCAAUUAGGGAAUAAAUCUGUCAUGUCAAAAAUGUGGUGAGAGAACCCUAUAAAAUAACCUAAAAGCUCUACCAAUUUAGCAGAGAAACCAUGGAGAGGAAGCAAAAAGAGAGAAAAGGGCAUUUGGUGCUUGUUCCUUGCCCUUUACCAAGCCACAUGUCUCCUAUGCUUCACUUAGCCAAACUUCUUCACUCUCAGGGUUUCUCCAUUACCAUAAUUCACACACAACUUAACUCUCCAAAUGAAUCUCAUUACCCUGAAUUCUCCUUUGAAUCCAUUGGUGGUAGCAUGUUGGAGAGCUACAGUGCCUUUGAUGGGGAUGUUAUGCUUUUUCUUUCAAAACUAAACAUGAAAUGUGAAACCCCAUUUCAUGAAUGCUUGGUAAACAUGCAAUUGCGCUGUCAAUUCAAUCCAAUCUCCUGCAUAAUAUAUGACGCUGUCAUGUAUUUUUCUGCUGCAGUUGCUGAUGAUUUGAAGCUUUUUAGAAUUGUUUUGCGGACAAGUAGCGCCGCAAACUACAUUGGGCUGUCAAUUCUUGAUGAGAGUGACUUUGUUUCAGAACGUAGAAUGGAGGAACCAGUAGCUGGAUUUCCCUUUCUGAGAAUUAAGGACAUGCCACUUUUCAGCACACAGAAACACACAAGGGAGGUUCUAACGUGUAUUUACAAUGGAACAAGAACUGCUUCAGCUAUCAUAUGGAAUUCCCUUUGGUGUCUUGAACAUGCCUUGUUUGAGAAAAUAAAAAAUGAAACCUUGGUUCCUGUCUUUCCCUUAGGGCCUCUUCAAAAGCACUGUAGCAGCUUCUCCACUAAUGUCUUAAGUGAAGAGCAGGGUUGCAUUGCUUGGUUAGAUAAACAAGCUCCAAGUUCUGUGGUGUAUGUAAGCAUUGGAAGUGUGGUUACUAUGACAGAAGAUGAACUCUUAGAAAUGGCUUGGGGGCUUGCCAAUAGUGGCCAGCCGUUCCUGUGGGUGGUGAGGGCUUGUGUAAUCAAUGGCUCAGAUGGGGUUGAGCUGUUGCCUAGAGAAUUUCAUGAGGCUACCAGAAGUCGCUGCUGGAUAGCUAGUUGGUUGCCACAGCAAAAAGUCUUAGCACACACAUCAAUUGGAUGCUUUUUGACGCAUAAUGGCUGGAACUCAACAAUUGAAAGUAUAGCAGAAGGCGUUCCGAUGCUUUGCUGGCCUCGAGUCGGGGAUCAAAGGGUGAAUGCACGGUUCGUGAGCCAUGUCUGGAGGGUUGGCUUACAGUUGGAGGACAGAUUGUUGAGAGAGGACGUUGAAAGCGCCAUUCGAACUCUCUUCAUCGACGAAAAGGGUAUCGAAAUCCAUAAGCGAGCCAAGGAGUUAAAGAAGAAGGUUGAUAUCUCCUUGAGACAAGGUGGUGCUUCAAGUGAGUUCUUAAGCAGAUUAGUUAAGUACAUUAGCCUUCAAGAGACAAUGAUAAGGUUGUCAAAUGCUUGAUUAGCCUAUGAUAAUGUAAGCUAUGAUUUCUCUUAUGUAAUUCUGCACAUGUUGAAAUGAAACAGUGAAGCACGUGGAGAAAAUAGGACAAAUGCUACUACUCAGCGUAUGCUUCCCAACAGAAAAAUGAUGAAGACAGCUCAGAUUGGCCCAUUGCUAUCUGUUGGUCUUUAGUAAUUUUAACUUUUUCAGCUGUCUGGGGGGAAUCACUUGAUGUAGCUGAAUCAUCCAAUGAGUGCUGGUGACGACUGAGUCUUGUUGAACAAUGUAAGUACUUUCUUCUAAAUGUAUUGCUUACAAACUAGACAAGGCUAGGUCUCCAAAAUCGUUAUCGUACUUAAUCGUCGUUUUCUACUACGCAUGUUUCUUGUUUCAUUGUCUGUUUAAGCCCGUUAUGUAUCGUUGUCAGCCUCGUAGUUUUUGUUUCGUUGUACUAGCCCAAGUCCAUUGUUAGUAGAUAUUGUCCGCUUUGGUCUGUUAGAUAUCGCUGUCAGCCUCACAGUUUUUGUUUCGUUGUACCAGCCCAAAUUCACCGUUAGUAGAUAUUGUCCGCUUUGGUCUGUUACAUAUUGUUGUCAGACUCACAGUUUUUCUUUCGUUGUACCAACCGAAGUAUAUCGCUAGUAGAUAUUGUCUACUUGGGGCCAUUACAUAUUGUUAUUAGUCUCAUGGUUUUAAAAUGUGUCUAUUAGGGAGAGGUUUCAAACUAGACAAGGCUAGGUCUCCAAACCCUAUCGAAGUUAAUCAUCAUUUGCUACUACGCAUGUUUCUUGUUUCGUUGUACCAGCUGAAGUCCACCGCUAGUAGAUAUUGUCCGCUUUGGUCCGUUACGUAUUGUUGUCAAUCCAUAGUCUUGUUCCGUUGUACCAGCCCAAGUCUAUCGCGAGUAGAUAUUAUCCGCUUUGGCUCAUUACGUAUUGUUGUUAGUGUCACAGUUUUAAA